AGGACGAACGCUGGCGGCGUGCCUAACACAUGCAAGUCAAGGCGGUAGCAAUACCGACUGGCGCACGGGUGCGGAACACGUAGGCAAUCUGCCCAUCAGGGGAGAACAACUCACCGAAAGGUGAGCUAAAUCUCCGUAAUGUUUUAUCAUGGCAUCAUGAUUUAACCAAGCUUUCUGAUGGAUGAGCCUGCGUCUGAUUAGCUAGUUGGUAGUGUAAUGGACUACCAAGGCUACGAUCAGUAGCUGGUCGUGAGAGGAUGAUCAGCCACAUUGGGACUGAGACACGGCCCAGACUCCUACGGGAGCAGCAGUGAGGAA
rnacentral:rRNA from 1 species